CGUAGGGUGCGAGCGUUAAUCGGGAAUUACUGGGCGUAAAGCGUGCGCAGGCGGUUUGUUAAGAUAGGCGUGAAAUCCCCGGGCUCAACCUGGGAACUGCGCUUAUGACUGGCAAGCUAGAGUGCGGCAGAGGGGGUGGAAUUCCACGUGUAGCAGUGAAAUGCGUAGAGAUGUGGAGGAACACCAAUGGCGAAGGCAGCCCCCUGGGUCGAUACUGACGCUCAUGCACGAAAGCGUGGGUAGCAAACAGGAUUAGAUACCCUGGUAGUCCACGCCCUAAACGAUGUCAACUAGGUGUUGGGAGGGUAAAACCUUUUAGUACCGGAGCUAACGCGUGAAGUUGACCGCCUGGGGAGUACGGCCGCAAGGUUA
rnacentral:rRNA from 1 species